UCCCUGGUGGCUCAGAACAUAAAGAAUCUGUCUGAAAUGCAGGAGACCCAGGUUCGACCCCUGGUUAGGGAA
rnacentral:tRNA from 1 species